GACGAACGCUGGCGGCGCGCCUAACACAUGCAGGUCGAACGGAGCUGAGAGAAGCUUGCUUUUCUUAGCUUAGUGGCGAACGGGUGAGUAACGCGUGAGUAACCUGCCCUGGAGUGGGGGACAACAGUUGGAAACGACUGCUAAUACCGCAUAAGCCCACGAUCCGGCAUCGGAUUGAGGGAAAAGGAUUUAUUCGCUUCAGGAUGGACUCGCGUCCAAUUAGCUAGUUGGUGAGGUAACGGCCCACCAAGGCGACGAUUGGUAGCCGGACUGAGAGGUUGAACGCCCACAUGGGGACGGAACAACGGCCCAGACCCCAAGGGGGGGCAGAGGGGGGAAUAUGAAAAAAGGGGGGAACCCCGGAUGCCGGGACGCCGGGGGGGGAAAGAAGGUUUUGGAAUUUUAAACCCCUGUCGUUGGGGAGGAAAAGGGCGGAACCAAAAAAAAAACCCCCGGCAAACGACG
rnacentral:rRNA from 1 species